AAGUGAUCAUGUAACUGGCGGAAAUGGAAUUAACCAUAGGGAACAUGAUUAAUUAUAUAAAAUAUCGACCGUCUGGGUAAGUUUA
rnacentral:ncRNA from 2 species